CAUUAUUUGGGUGAAUAGGAAAAGACAGAGAUGGCUAUUGCCUUAGAAACCUGAUUAACGCACGCCGCUUUGAGGCUGAACAAGCCAUAUUUCCUGAAACUGAAGAGCUAUGUAAGUGUUUAAACAUGUGUCAAGUGUCUUAUAAAUAAUACAAAUUCAUGAAGAAGAGGAGGAAAUUUAAGGGAUACCUGAAGUUCUUGGCAGGGCUGCGUUUCGCCAUUGGGUUAUUUUUGGCUGCGGAAUCGUAGGAAGGAAGCUACGGGGGGAUAACGUGGCUCCUCAUGGAGCCGGUCCUUCCUCUGGUCCGCGUGGAGUCUGUGCGCUUCUCCAUCUAGCAGGACCUUUGUCUGGUCCAUGAAAGACGCUCACGCGCUGUCUGCCAGAGCGAGAGGUGGCACCCAGCUCAGUAUUUGGGAGUCACCUGCCUGCCUUUCCCUCUCAGCUCCCACUCCCUCCUGUGACAUUGCUGUGACAUCCCGCACCCCCUUGGUAGAAUGAAGAGAAGCUGAAAAAAGAUGUCGCCCUAACACGAUUUGAGAGCCUCUGAGAAAAC